GCUCUUGGGUUAGAUUGAAACAAAGAGAGGCAUACCUAAGACAAAGUGACUCUAGAAGUGUGAACUCAAAAUGUCUGAGACAAGUCUCAGUCAAUUUAGAAAGUUUAUUUUGUCAAGGUUAGGGACACACCAGUGACAUAGCCUCAGGAGGUCCUGAUAACAUGUGCCCAAGGUGGUCAGGGUACAGCUUGCUUUUAUACAUUUUAGGGAGACACAGUACAUCAAUCAGUACAUGUAAGAUUUACAUUGGUUUGACCUGGAAGGGCAGGAUAGGGGCAGCCUUCCAGGUCAUAGGUAGAUUUAAAUUUUUUCUGAUGGCAAUUGGUCGAAAGAGUCAUUAUCAGUAGAAAGGAAUGUCUGGCUUAUGGUAAGGGGUUGUGGAGACCUAGGUUUUAUCAUGCAGAUGAGGCCUCCAAGUAGCAGGCUUCAGAGAGAAUAGAGUUUGAGUAUUUCUUAUCCCACUUAAGGUCUGAGUUGAUGUUAAUGCUGGAGGGGGAUGGAUAGUGAGGCAUGUCCAUCCUCCCCUUUUCCAUCAUGGCCUGAAAGAGAUUUUCAGGCAACUCCGGGAUGCCCUUGGCCAAGAGGGCCCAUUCAGAUGGUUGGGGGCCUUAGAAUUUUAUUUUUAGUUUACAGAAGGUUUGAAAUAAGGGGAUAGAAAAAUACAUACCAGGCAAAUAUUACUGUCAAUCAAAAUAGAGUUCAUAUGUUAAUAGAGAUACAACAAUAUUUCAUAAUAUUAACAGCUCAUCUGGAAGAUAAAAUAAUUAUGAUCUUGUAACAUACUCAGGGAAUGAGAAAGAAAAUCUGAUAAUCAUAGUGGGAAAUAUUACUAUACUCUGUCAUUGAUAAAUAAAAGUUAGUACAGCUAUAGAUUAUUUGAAGUCCAAAAUACUUUAUUAACAAGAGUUUAGUAAUUUAAUAAUUAUUAAUAGGUCUCAGAGAACCUUUCCCUGUCAGGAUGAUCUGAUUUUGUGAAUUUUGGCUGAACUGUAUACAGCUCUAUGGUGCCUUUUUUUUUUUUUUCUUUUGAGACAGAGUCUCGC
rnacentral:lncRNA from 1 species